rnacentral:misc_RNA from 1 species
UCGGAAGGUGCGGCUGGAUCACCUCCUUUCUAAGGAGAAUUACCUACUGUUUAAUUUUGAGGGUUCGUUUUUACGAAUACUCAAAAUUAGCACUUUAAGCAACGGGAUUUAUCCGUUGGCGCCGUGCUUUAGCACUUUUAGCAACGGAAUUUAUUCGUUGGCGCUGUGUGUUAGCACUUUGAAAACUGCAUAUAUAUUUAGUGAUAUGACAUCUAAUUUGUAAUAUAUAAAGCUGAUAACUUUUUAAAAUUAUCGAAGUCGAUAGCUUCUAAUCUAUCAAACCUUUUUAACU